rnacentral:rRNA from 1 species
UUAGUCGUAGACCCACUGAUGAAUAAGGGGUGGGCAAGUUCUGGUGUCAGCCGCCGCGGUAAAACCAGCACCUCAAGUGGUCAGGAUGAUUAUUGGGCCUAAAGCAUCCGUAGCCUGUUCUGUAAGUUUUCGGUUAAAUCCAUAAGCUCAACUUAUGGGCUGCCGAAAAUACUGCAGAACUAGGGAGUGGGAGAGGUAGACGGUACUCGGUAGGAAGGGGUAAAAUCCUUUGAUCUAUUGAUGACCACCUGUGGCGAAGGCGGUCUACCAGAACACGUUCGACGGUGAGGGAUGAAAGCUGGGGGAGCAAACCGGAUUAGAUACCCGGGUAGUCCCAGCUGUAAACGAUGCAAACUCGAUGAUGCGUUGGCUUGUUGCUAGCGCAGUGUCGCAGGGAAGCCGUUAAGUUUGCCGCCUGGGAAGUACGUACGCAAGUAUGAAACUUAAAGGAAUUGGCGGGGGAGCACCACAAGGGGUGAAGCCUGCGGUUCAAUUGGAGUCAACGCCGGGAAUC